rnacentral:rRNA from 1 species
UACGUAGGGCGCAAGCGUUGUCCGGAAUUAUUGGGCGUAAAGAGCUCGUAGGCGGUUUGUCGCGUCGGCUGUGAAAACCCGAGGCUCAACCUCGGGCCUGCAGUCGAUACGGGCAGACUAGAGUGUGGUAGGGGAGACUGGAAUUCCUGGUGUAGCGGUGAAAUGCGCAGAUAUCAGGAGGAACACCGGUGGCGAAGGCGGGUCUCUGGGCCGUAACUGACGCUGAGGAGCGAAAGCGUGGGGAGCGAACAGG